rnacentral:rRNA from 1 species
AGGCUUAACACAUGCAAGUCGAGCGGGCCCUUCGGGGUCAGCGGCGGACGGGUGAGUAACGCGUGGGAACGUGCCUUCUGGUUCGGAAUAACCCUGGGAAACUAGGGCUAAUACCGGAUACGCCCUUAUGGGGAAAGGUUUACUGCCGGAAGAUCGGCCCGCGUCUGAUUAGCUAGUUGGUGGGGUAACGGCCUACCAAGGCGACGAUCAGUAGCUGGUCUGAGAGGAUGAUCAGCCACACUGGGACUGAGACACGGCCCAGACUCCUACGGGAGGCAGCA